CGCAUUGUUGCCCAUUGUCCUAUUGUCCAUAUCCGGCCAGACAAUGCACAAAGCUUUGCAGCAACAGCCUCCCGAUCCAGAUCCUGAUCCUCAACCCUGAACUGACAGCGUAUAUAAACCACGGCUGCUGCGGAGAAUCAAUCAGUUUCAUUUCAAUCUUCAAACGCUGAGGAUCAACAGCAGCAGCAGCAGGAGCAGCAGCUACAGCGGCACAAGGAGCAGCCAAGGACUUUGUGUGGAUCAGCAACAGAUCCUCCAUCCUGCAGCGCCAUGCUCUGGCAGCGCUAAGCAGGCUGUUGCACGUGGCAUUACCAACACAACCAAAAAUCUCAAGAAACCUUUCAAGUUUACUUUCAACCGUUCCGAAAAACACAAACUCAAAAAAGCCCAAAAUCAAAUCAACAAUUUCAACAAAGUUAUUAACAAAAUAAAAACCAAAAAUAUAACUACAUAAAACUAAACCCAAAUCACAUCACCGAAAGUCAGAUUAAUUUUUACAUUCAAUUAAAAACACAAACAAAAAUAGUUAAAGUAAAAUAUUGAUUUUACUCAAUUGUGCGACAACAUUAAACCAUAAAAUAAAAUAAAAAGGACUCAACAGGCACACAUAUUGAAAUUCCAUAAUAAAUCAAACAAAAGCAAUUUCAAUAGCAGAAUAUACAGACAAAUCGUAUAAAAAAAAAUAAUAAAUUUUAAAUAAAUUCUAUUGAAAAGUGCACACAGCUUGACAUCAAUUGGAAAGUUUUCAAAGCAAAAACCAGCAACAGACGACAAAGGAAUUAUCGCAGAGAUAUUAAUAUUAUUUUUUUAUAUAUUUUACAGGACCCUUAAAAGAAGUUUAGUUCAACUCAAGCUAAACUAGCAUGGAUCAAACAACAAUACCAAAUACUAUUCGAUUUCAUGAAAAUUGUUAUGAAACUCAAAGAAAUUUAUAAAUGUCUAUUGCUCAUUUUCCUCUACUGCAAUGACACUCAAAAUCCGAAAUUAAGCAAUCAAAAGACGUCAAAAUUCCAAAAACCACAACAUCAACAUCGAAAUUAUAAAAGCCUUGAUAAACUGAAAUGCUACUGCCGGCAGCUCAGCUCCGUUGCAUUGUGCCCCAAACAAGAGACCAGGCCAGCAAAUCACACAGAAUCCCGACAAAAAAUGCAAGGAAGGAAACCAAAAUUCAAAUUUAGCCAGCAACAGCAAAUUCAAUACUCGCAAAGCAAAGCACAAAUGCAGCACGCUAAUGAUAAUGAAACGACGACCACGAGGAUCAAGCAUUUGACGGCGAAAAAGGAGCAAGGAGCGACAGCAGAGGCAACAACAGCGACGUUGGCAGCGAACAGUAGCAUCGACAGCGACUGCGACUGCGGCAGCAACGUCGACCGACAGUUAUCUAAGGCAGCAGCUAAACGGGGAGAAAGUUACCCCGCCAUAGAUAUUUGGCUGAAUAUCUAAACAGGGGCAAAUGCCCCACACAAGCACAAGCAUAAGCACAAGCCCAAGCAAAAACAGUAGCAGCAGCAACCCCCUCGACAGGAAGCAAAUUCAAAUACAAAUCCAAACACACAAACACACACCCCAAGCACACUACACUACCAUUCAAGCUAAGCUACUACGGCGAAUUCAAAACACACACACGAACACACACAUACAGGCCCACAGCCGACAAAGAGCGCAACCAGCAAAAGAGAGCGCGAGAGCGUGAGAGAACGAAAGUGAGCAGGCGGCAACAUGAGAGCACCUUUGGCAAUCCAAAAAGCACACAACAAAAUCCAACAAUUUCGCAAAGCUCGCUAAAAACAAAAUCAAAAUUUUCACCUUUCGGCUACUCUGGCAUGCAUCAAAAUCCAACAAAAUUUUAUGGCCAUACGGACACAAAAUUCAAAACCCAUAGCACAAAUUCCAGCACUUAUAAUAUUUAAAUAGGUCAAUUUUAAAAAUGCACAAACAAACCCAUUUAAACCCAAACGAAACUGCUGAAAACAAAUAUUUCGUUUUAUGAGACAAAAUCAACAUCUCAAGUAAAUUAAACGCCAUUUAAAAUCAGUAAAUAUCAGAAAUACAAAAUAAGGAAGAGCCUCCUCAGAAAUCAUUUCAAAAGUUCAAAACCAACCUAAAAAUGAAGUCGAAAGUCGCAGCAUUCGGAAGCCCUUAGGCGCAUAAUUAUAACACAUUAAGAUGACAAAUUACAACGAAAUUCCCCCCAAAAAGCCAGAAUAUAAAUUACAAGAAGUAACGGAAGUUUUAAUGCGACAAAAGUCAAGAACAAAAAAGAAAUACUACAAAAUCCUAAAACAAAACAAAAAAAAAGUAAAAAUAAUAAUAAAAGAAUAAGGGCACCAAAUGCAGACGCUGGCAAGACGACAACGAUGCAAUUGUUCUGGCAACUUUCUGGCCAAAAAUCUUACAAAUGGCGGACGACUCACAGGCAGCUAAAAUAGGACAAGGCAGAUAAAUCAACGCGAAACAAAACAAUUCCGAACAAAAACAAGAACAACAGCCACGCGAUUAUAUGUAUUUGUAGUAAAAACUUUUUGUUUAGAAGAAGGGGUUGAAAUUGAAAAGCAGCUCAGCAGCCAAAUUCAUAAACCAAACGAAAACCAAAACCAAAUCUCACACACAUACACAAAAAAACAACACACACACAUAUACAAAUACACACCGAAAAUUAUAGACAAAGCUAAAGAUAUUCUGGAUAACUCAAAAUUGUACAAAAGCGUUUCGAAGAGACAAAACCUAAACCAAAAGAAAAAAACAAAACUUAAACAAAAUAGAGAAGAACCUGCCAGUUGAAUCGAAAUCAAAAUCCAAUUCAAAAUCCGCAUCCGAAUGAGAAUCAGAAUCAGAAUCAGAAUCAAAAUCAAAAUCAAAAUCAAAGGCGACAAAUGAAAACAAAACCAGCAGAUGCAGAAACAACUUUAAGCAACAACUAGAUACUUAUGCGAAGGACACACAUGUCAGGCACAACACACAUCACACAGACAACACACAUCCCAUACCCCAUAACCCUCCAGAACUUACCCCGGUGACCCCUUCAAAUUGUGGUUAGGUUAGUUUUCUUUAGCAAAAGUUCGAACCAACAUCAACCAACAGCAGCAUCAGCAAAACGAAACGAAAAGCAUCAUCAUCAUUAUCAUCUUCAGUUGAAAGCACAUCAAACAAAACUUGGCAAUAGACGGGGUCGAGACAUAAUUGCUAUCAAUAAAUAAAAUAUGGCUGUCAUCAGGGGAAAGGGGUAACAAGAGGUAGACAGGGAGUUGGGAGACAGUCAAGCAGCUAUUUCAGCCAACUCUCAAACCAGCAAAGCCAUCUUCAAACUCCAACGACCACUAGACGCAGACACAAUUUUGAUUUAUAAAUUCAUUGCGAAAGUUGCUUGGCCAAGCGGCAGCAGCAACAGACUCACAGCAACAACUCCAGAAAUAGCAAAAACAACAUCACCAAAAUACCAUCGAAAGUCUUGGCAAAAAAACAACAAAAUCAACAACAACAUUGAGCUAAAAUCGUCUUUCUUUAUGAAAUUACACAUUUCCGACUUGUACAACGAGGACAUUGAAGCAGAAGCCAAAAAAGCAUCAUCAAACAACUACUUCUAUGAAAAUUUCACCACCCGAAUGAAAAAGGCCAACAAGUUUCAUAUCAAAAAGCAAACACACGGGUUAACUGACAAAUUUACUUUUUAGAUUCUUAUGAAAAUGGGGAAAUUCUUUAGCUAGCUACUUUUGGCACAGAAGCACAUUGACAAAACAAACGUUAAAUGCAUUUUGGAAAUCUGCAAAAUCAUUAAGAAACACUAGCACGACAACAACAAUUGUAGCAAAUGGACACUUGUACAAUAGUUCUAUUGAAAAUCAUUUCAAAAACAACGAAAACACAAAACGACAAAAAACAUUACUUAGGAUCUAUGCAAAGAGAGACAACAACAAACAAAAAUGAAAAAGAAAAGAAAAGAGAAAUUGAAAACGAGAAAAACUAGAAUCAUUAAACAUUUCGGACACAAGGUUGGGGAUACCUAGUGUAAUUGCUUAGACUUAAGAGUGUUGUACUUGCAGGAAGACAAGUGCAAGACCCAAGCCAGGGCCAACUUAGUUAGCCAAGUUAGAUAGAACAAAACAAAAUAAAAAAUCCAACACCCGAUAUGUCAAAAUCAAAAAGUCUUUGAUAAAUGAACUUCUUAAGAAUUAUCCAUAAAUUUAAAUAAUGUAACUACACUCUGUAUCCCCUUAGUUAAGCUAAAAAAAAAAAGAAUACAAACAAAACAAAAAGCAAAUCAUACUAGCAAAAGCAAAAAAACGAAAUGGGUCAAAAAUGUAGAUAAUGCCAAUCCUUUUGUCUAAAAUGACAAUUCUUCUAAUCUUGCAUAUAUUUUAGACGAAACGAUUGUCGCAUUUUUUAUACACAUACAUUACAUAAUUUUAUAAUUAAUUACAAACAAUUUCUGUAUUAAUUUCGACAUUCUCCCGUCAUUAUAUUAUAAUCUCAUACUUAUACAUAUAUUUCAAAUAGGAUAAAUGUUGUCAGUUCUUUCGGUUUAUAUACUUUACAAACAUAUGUGAUAAGCAAAACUUUACAACUAAAACUAUAUAACUGUGUUAAAUAAUCUCUUUGAUGGAUCUAAAAAAAAAAAAACAAAACAAAAUGAAAAUUUAAAGAAAUAAUCUCUGUUCGCCUUAAGCAAAAUCUAUUUUUACUUAAAAAAUAUCUACUAGAAAUAUUUAAAUUACUUGUAUAAAUUCCAAUCAAACAGUACAAUAUUGUUAAAUCAAGAGAAAUAUUUUUAUGACCAUAUGCACUUUGUGAACAUUAAAAAUAGUAUUGUAUUCAUUUUUGACUAAAGCAAACAAACAAAAACACAAAAACAAAAAUCAAUAAAAUUGUACAAGCCAAUUUGCUCAAAUAACAAAAACAA